GACGAACGCUGGCGGCGUGCUUAACACAUGCAAGUCGAACGGAAAGGCCCUGCUUGCAGGGUACUCGAGUGGCGAACGGGUGAGUAACACGUGGGUGAUCUGCCCUGCACUUCGGGAUAAGCCUGGGAAACUGGGUCUAAUACCGGAUAGGAGUCAUUUUUAGUGUGAUGGUUGGAAAGUUUUUUCGGUUUAGGAUGAGCUCGCGGCCUAUCAGCUUGUUGGUGGGGUAAUGGCCUACCAAGGCGGCGACGGGUAGCCGGCCUGAGAGGGUGGACGGCCACAUGGGGCCUGGGAUAGGGCCCAGACUCCUACGGGGGGCAGCGGUGGGGAAUGUGGCACAAUGGGGGCAAGCCUGAUGAAGCGGCCCCGGGUGGGGAAUGCGGGCUUUCGGGUGGUAAACUCCUUCCGCUGGGGACAAGGCUUUUGUGACGGUACCUAGAUAAGAAGCACCGGCUAACUACGUG
rnacentral:rRNA from 1 species